rnacentral:lncRNA from 1 species
AGUUGUCGAGGGUGCAACAAGCACGUCCGGUGAACAGGUCAGGAUGUUAAAAUGUUCAUAAAUGACCAGCAUGGUCAAAUAAUAAUAAUCAUAGUAGUUGUCGAGGGUGCAACAAGCACGUCCGGUGAACAGGUCAGGGUUCCAUAGCCGCAGGCAGAACAGUUGAAACUGGAGCAGCAGCACGGCCAGGUGGACUGGGGACAGCAAGGAGUCAUCAUGCCAGGUAGUCCUGAGGCAUGGUCCUAGAGCUCAGGUCCUCCGGGAGAGAGAAAGAAAGAAAGAAAGAAAGAAAGAAAGAAAGAAAGAAAGAAAGAAAGAAAGAAAGAAAGAAAGAAAGAAAGAAAAAGAGAAUUAGAGAGAGCAUACUUAAAUUCACACAGGACACCGGAUAAGACAGGAGAAAUACUCCAGAUAUAACAGACUGACCCUAGACCCCCGACACAUAAACUACUGCAGCAUAAAUACUGGAGGCUGAGACAGGAGGGGUCAGGAGACACUGUGGCCCC